CCUAACAGGAGGAAGAACAUCUUGACACAUUCAAACUGGCAGCCUUUCCCAAAAAACAGAAGGAAGCAGAUAAUCCACUCAAACCAUAAUCAACAAAAAUGGACGACAUGCCAUUGACCAGGAUGCACUGCACCUUCCUGAGAACCGCACAACAAAUGGGUUCACCUCCCUCAGGGGCAUACCCACAAGGGGGUGGGAUUGGGUGGGAGGGGAAGAGAAGGGGUCUAAUAGCCUAAUCGCUGUUGAUUUCAUCUUUUUAUGUAACACAGAGCACGGGAUGAAACAUCGGCCACAGAAUCCUACACACAAAUUACUUGUAAAGUACACAAAUUCCCCUUCUCAAACAAGCAAUUUUGAACUUUUAAUGUGUAACUGAACAUAUAUAUACAUAUAAUUAGAUCAAUAACUAAACACAAUGUCCUAAUAGUUCACUUUUGAAAAAGAUUAUUCAUAAAACAUUGCAAGAGUAAUAUAUGUUCACAAUCAUGGUAUCAGAUUGUCCACAGUAAGAAAACAAAUAUUUCACCACUGUCAACUAAAAAUUGUAUCACAAUCACAAUCAUAUUGCCACACUGAGACGAUAAUUCUAUCACAAAGGAAUACAAUUUUUCUUUUGUAAUGCAAUAUUACUUUCUUUUUCUAAAGGAAAGCAUAUUUUGUCUUGUAACGCAAAUAUCUUUUUUGAUUCUAAGGGAAGUAUUUCUUGUUCUGUAAUGCAAACAUUACUUCUAUUUUUAAUAUGAAUGUAUGGAAUCAAUUAGUAAUCCUAAGAUAAAAAAAUCCCAAAACACUACAUAGCACUAUGACAGGGCAAGUUGGCAAUCAACCAUUGUUCAGAGAACUUACCAUAUGAAAGUCAGCAAGACUGCUGGUGUAGGCCUCCAGUCGCUUCAUAUCAUAAGGCGAAAGUAAGUCUGUGAUAGACCGUAAGAAUCCAUCUGUGGUAGACGAUUUGGGUUCUCCAUCCUUGUAAUUGAUCUUAGGAUCUAAGAUGCUGGAAAAUUAUUAGUUAGUACGAGCACUUGAACAAUAAGCAUUUAUCAGAAUGGAACUUUUAAUAGUACCUCAUAGCGAGCCUAUAAUCCAUUGUACGAAAACUAUAACCCAAUAGUCUCAAAAAUCUUCUCCUGAAAUCUAGGUAGCCAACAAAUAAUCAAGCUGUGAACUGAAAUACAAAAAAUCUGCACAAAUUUAAAUAGAACAAAGGUUUUCCAAAGAAAAAUGGGCCCACCUAGGUUGAAUGGACGAAAAUCACUGGUUUCAAGUUCAUCAUUCUUCAAAGAUUUGAGGACCAUACACGUAUGCUCCCCGGUCACACCACUCUAUUACAUUGAAAAGAAAAAUGAAAAAUUAUUGUUUAAUCAGUCAUUCAUUCACAAAUGAUAAUAUUCAAAAAAACAGUAAACGGAAAAAAGGAUUCAGUAUGGAGAGGGGAAUCCAUCUUAACUGGAAUAUGUCCAAUAUAGAAUGGAGCAAACUUAUGUUUCCACCAAAACCUGAAAAGGUCCAAGGUAAGCCCAAAGGAGACACCAAUAUAAUGGAGCUUCUCUGGUCGCCUUUCACGAAGAUGAACAAGCAAAUGAGGAAGAUCUGUUCUAGGUUUUAUACUUUCUUCCAGCAAUGAAACCUAUAAAUAAAAUAGACAUAGGUAUCAUUCCGAUAAACAAUAUCAAGGCACAGGCGGCAGGUUGAUUAAUACCAAACAAACAAACCAAUACAUGAUAAUAUACUUUGAUGUCAUUAUGAUUAAAAUUAACACAACAAAUGAUCAUUCACAAAAGUUUGUCAAAUUAUAUUCAAACACAGAAAUUGUUCUACAAUCACCGGAAUGAAGCUUAACCAACUCAAACACUUCGACAGAACAAGAAUUGCAUUACCAGAAACCUAUGAGUUACAAAAUUGCCUCCAAUUGCAAUAAUAAUACAUAGAAUAGUCUCGUAUAAGCAGUUCUCCAACCUAUUAAUUAAAAAUAUUUAUAAAAAAAAAAAAACUAAGCUUGGUGAUUGUAGUUCACCUUCUCAGCAGCUUCUGUGACUCUGAGUGGGGGAGUCUCAACAUCUUCAACGUCCAGUUCAGAAAUAGGAGCAAACUGUCCUUCGUAGUACCUGAGGAGAAAUAAACCCUUAACACCCAUUUUUUCAAAUAUAAAAACAUAAAUGUGAAGCAUCAACUUUUAGAACCAAAGAGAUUCAGUGCAAUUUUCAUGUCAAAACACUUUUAUCUCAAUAAUGAAGUACUUAUGAGUUACAUUGAUACAAGAGCAAUGCAUCCCACAUAUCACACACAUUCCUUAUAUCUGGAUCCCCAACAAUAGCAAUCCAAUGUCACCCACAUAGCACAUGAUACAUACCAGAGGUGUCCCUAGAAUGUCCACAUCAGCCAUUCCUUAUAUCUGUGUCCCCAAAAACAUUUGCAGUAAAAAGUACAUGGACUUAUGAGCACAAAGGGAUAACGGACAUGUAUGGGUUGACUUGAGAGAUAAACCAAGUAAAGUAAGUUCAAGAAAAAAUCUAGGACCAAAUAGGAUACAAGGUCAGAAUCAGUGUGACCCAUCUAAAAAGUUAGGACCCCACAUUAAUUUGUGCAGUCAACAACGAGGAUCCAUCUUUGGAUUAUUAUCCUAAAACGCUCUAUCUUUGGAUUAUAUCCUAAAGUGCUGCUGGUUAAGCUUGUUUCUGGUUUUUCUCUGUUGGAAAUUUCAAUUACUAACGAAAUAUCCAAUCUUCAUUUAAACAUACAGAUUUAAACUCAACUGUUGGCACUGCAGACUCUUGGCCAUUGUUGGGAUUGAAAUAAGCUAGAGUUUCUCAAGAUAAAUGCGGAUGAGGUGGGUUUUAUUUGAGAUAGCGAAUUCCAUGUGUUUGUGGAUUUAUUGCCAAAGCAAUUUGGGAAGAUCCCUGCUGUUUCCUCCAGAUGGAUGGGGUUAUAAUUUCAUUGUAACUUUUCUGAAGUAAGUUUUAGUUGGACUCCUUUUCUUUGCAAUGGACAACUUCUCCUCCUUUCCUUUAGAAAAUGCUUUGCUUUGCUGAAUUUUUCGUAACUCUUAGAAAUGUAACCCAAACUAAGAUGAAAACCCCCAACAUGACCGUAUUUUAAUAUGCUAUCACUUCUAAUCCUCUAUAUCUUUCCACUUGUUUCUCCAACUACCAUCAUAUGACUCGAGAGUUGUAUUGUGAGAAAGUCAUCUGUAUAUCAAAACUGAAAUCAAAUGAUCAUCUCUUCAGCACCCACAUGGUCUAUGUUCUAUAGCUUUCAACCCAAGUGAACUGAAAGCAUGAGACUCACAUUUUGAGUUGCGACUUUAUGUGCCUGAGCCAGGGUGCAUAUGCAUGAUUGCUUUUCAUUCAUUUUAGAAAUCAUUUGAAGCAUUGCUUCAGACAUAUAAUCUUCAAUCUUUUCACCUUUUUUUUUAUGACAAACAGUAGCGUUAGUGGGUUAAAAGUUUAUUUGUUAGGGGGAGGGGAAUCGAUGGGCAUCAAACCCGCACCAGGGUGCAUAUGCAUGAUUGCUUUUCAUUCAAAGUGUAGCAAUAUGGGGCUAAAAGAAUCACUCAGUCAAUCUUUCUCAACACCUUAGGCAUCCACAUACACAUUGGGAUCAUGUAUGUGAUCUACAAAAACGUUUAGGUGGGGAAUAACUCAAAGAGGAGCAUACCUUGUCAAUAGUUCCACUGCUUGUGAUCCAUAUCCAAUCUACAACAACGAAAAAUAAAUUACCAUUUCAACAGAUCCCUGGUUAUAGAUUACCAUUUCAACAAAAUCCUGGUUAUACAUAUUGCUUUGGAAACCAUAAUGAGAGAAUACCUUCAUGGCACUUGGAUGUGUAGCAAUUCGUACAAUCCGAGCACCUGAAAGACUGGGAAAAACUGUGUCCUGAAAUUGCUCACAGAAUUUCCAUGGUAUCUGGUCACCAGAAGGCUGAUGACCAUCACUUAAACUUUUCAUUGCAGAUUCACGAGAGAUCUUUCCCUCAAGGCAGACCUAAGAACAAAAUGAUAGCACAUAAAAUGUUGAGCAUCAAAGAAUUAGUGUUUUAUAGAAGAUGAAGUACGUGUUUAAAGUGUUGUCCUUUAUUGCUAUUUCACAUAAGGUAAAAUUAUAAAUAAAAAAACUAAUAAAAUUUUGGGUAUGCGUUAAAUAACUAAAAGAAAUAAUAGUCCUGAACUAGGGGAAGACAGUCAAACCUGAAUGACACACAAAAUAUCAGGAAGCUGAUUUUUUGACUCAUCAACAGGGCCUGCACGUGCAAAUUAUAAUCAAGUCCAGCCAAAUAGCGGCAAAAAAAGAAAGACCAGUUCUAACGUAACAUAUAUACCAAGUAGCACAAACAGGUGGUGAGCCGGGGCAUCAGCCAUUAGUUGCAAAUCAUUUGGAGAAUUUUUGUAGUGGGAGGCAACAUAUAGAGCCAUCAUCCGCUGCAAGUAUUAGAAUAUGUAAGUUCACUAAUAUGAAAAUGAGAAUCACUAGUCUGACAUUACUUGAACAUGUAAUUACCUGUAAGAACAACUCGCUAUCUUUAUGAUAUGAAAAAAGCGUAUCACAGUUUACGUAGUACAGAUCGCACUCACUGGGUGCAGGUAACCUAGCCGCCAAGAGAGAGAGAAGAGAGAGAGAGAUCAUUAAUAAAGGUAAGGGUUAUAAUGGAGAUGGUUACAUCUUCCUCGGUUCUGACUGUCUAAGCAAAUGUUUUUACCCGUUAAGUUUAGGGAUAUAAUUUGUGAUAUCCAAGCAAAGUAAACCAUGAAGCCAGGAUUCAAUCGGAUCACCAGAAGCAUAUCUGAUAGAUUCUUUCAAUUCUAUCUUUUUGAAAAGACGACCUACAAUCAGGGACAUUUAUCAAUUCAGAAAAUUAUGUCCAAAUAUCACAAAAUAGUUUUUAAAAAAUUAUACAUUGCUCACUUGCAAGCGCCAACAGUUCAAGUAUUUCAGAAACAAUAAUGUUAAGAGAAAGCAGAAGAAACAUUGAAUUUUGAAAAUAAAUUCAAGUUUUGGGGGGAAAGGGGGAUUUUGAUCCAACCUAAUUCAAGAUGAGAAUACAAAACACGGCCAAUAAGGAAUAAGCAUACCAGAUGUAGGCCCCUUAGCAGACACUUGGCUUUGCUCUUCCAAUUGCUGUAGAAGUUUUAGGGACAAAGACCGACCAGUACCUUCAUAGCUUUCAGUGUAAAAUAAAUGUCCUUUAGUAUUUAAAUUGCACUUAGAUUUUUUUUUUUUUACCAAAAGUUGAAUUCAGAGUUGACUUAUAAAUAGAAAGACAUCAAGCAUGAGUCAAGGAAAAGUGGAAACAGCCCAUGAAAAGUGAAAGAUCUUUCAUUCCCCCCCGCGGCCGUAACAGAAAGUGAAAAAGUGAAGUGAAAUAUGUUUCAUGAGACUGUUAAAACCAAAAAAGAACACAUGAUAAGAAUACACGACAUGAAGGAAGAAGAACAUGGAUGAAUCUUACCCAUUAACAGUAGAUGAAAGGAAGACCAGAUAAGGACCAAGCAAAGACUUCACUACUGGUAGUGGAAUAGCAGCUGCUUCAUCAACAACCAACAGUUCAACUUGGGAAAGCUUUUCAUGCUCAUGUGGCCGUAUAUACUGCAAGUACAAGUAACAAAAGUAAAAAACAAAUAGCCCCAAAAGCAAUGAGCAGUACAAAGUUCUUUCUUUUAGGCUACAUGAGGUGUAAAGGUCUAGACCACCUCACAAUCUCACAGGCAUGUUGAGUGCCUCUAUACCAUACAUACUGGAUUAGUGCCAGGAAGACACAUUAGGUUGACCAAAAAGUUUGGCGUUUCAGGAACAUGCUUUUAGAAGCAAGCUUCAGUAAUCACAAACCAUCUAAAUUAUGUUCAAUAUGCUCACACCAAUAACAAAAAUGAUGCACUUGGGCAAAAGUACAAUAGAAUUUUUGGAGUAGUCAAACAAAGACAACCACUAAUCAUAUAUGAGGGCAUACGACAUUUGAUGGGCAAAAGGUGAACACACUCAUGGCUAUUGUGAUGCGGCUAUCCAAUAGAAGAAUAUUCUCUAUUACAACUUGGUUAUCAACUUUUCAUGAGUAACAAUUCCUCCAUGUAUUUGUAUUUUGGUAUCAACUGACUAAACAAAAUCUUUAUUGCUAUUUUUUUAUAGAAAACGAGAUUUUAUUAAACAGCUAAAAAACAAUACAACACUUAGUGGACUAGGAAGUCCACCAUCAAAACGAAACAGCCCUGACAUAUGCCUCAACAUUCACCUCCAUCAUUAUAAAACAGAUCUGCAACUAUCUCACUGCAACUCCCCAAUCCAACAAAAUUACAUAAAAUGAAAGAUCCCAAAACCUUGGAGAGAGAGAAGCCAUAAGAAUGCCCAAUUCUUUCCCAAGAAUUCUCUUGUAAAUCCCCACUCUAAUUUUCAAAGGUUGCAAACUUGAAAUUAACAUAGAAGGUAACUGGCUUCAGAGUCAACUAGGAUAAUACUGGGCAUAUAUGCAGAGAGUAGGCAUAGUAGCAACUUUCAGGGUAUGGAAUAAUACAAAAGGAAAGGGAAGACCACAGAAUUCUCUCAGUCAUCUUAACUUGAUUUGGUACUAAGAAUAAGUUAUGUAUACACUUCCCACUGGCCCAUCUGUACGUUAAUAUAGAAAUAGAUUAUAUCCUGGCAACAAGGAAGUGAAAUACUCCUAUUUUUAUAUCAAUAUUGGGCACAAAUUAAGAGUUCAUCAAUAUAAUUUUACCUCAAUUGUAACCAACUGUGCAUAUAAGUUUACCUGAAUUGUUUGUCUGUGCUGCUUGUAUAUAUUGAUCUGUACAGUUGCUUUCUUCAACAAAGGGUCACUACUUUUCUGUACAUCAUAAUCUAUAUGUUCCUGCAAACAUAGUUUACAACUGUAAGCUCAAUAACUAGUGCACUGUUCGAAGUACAUGAUUGAAAAAUGAAGAAAACGGAGUGACCUUAUAACAAUUAAUGAAAGAUAAAAUGUAGUUCACAGAAUAAAACAUUCAAACACCACCAUCUUGAUAGUUAAACAAUUUCACUGUAAAAGCUAUUAAACUUAGCAGGAAAAAAAAUUUAAACUUUAUCUAACAUUUGAAUCUACAAUUUUCAAUUAGCAACUCUUGUCACAAAUGUUUAUUAGUGGGGUACGUUCUAAGAUAUUGUUAUUUGCUAAUUGUCGAGGAUUAUUUGGGAGUUAAAUCUCACAAGAAGGCGUAAAGAUCACAUUAGAAUUAGAUAUUUUACUAGGAAGCUAAAGAUCACAUUAGAACCACCCGCAGGAAUACAAAAAAACGACAUACCUUAUAGUCCAGUUGAUCAAAACCCUUGCAAACAAAUUCGAACAAGGUUCUUAAGUUCUCAGGGCUGGGUGCAGUUACAAAUAUAUUUGAAUACCUGUGAAGAUAUAUUUGUAUCGUCAAAACAUAGUACAUGAAUAUGAGUGUAGACAGCUACACAUACACCAAAACAGUUUUAAUACAUUGUAAAAGGCAUACUACCCUGCAGCAAUAGCUCCGGAAAUUGCCAAACCAAGUGCAGCCGAUUUUCCACGGCCUCGAGCAGCAAGCAAGGCAACAGUACUUCGGAGUGUCUUGUCCAAGAUUGCAUCAAGAAAUGUAGCAACAGCAUUUCCCUGUUGAAACAUUUACCAACUCAAACUAUGAGUCAUAUUAGUAAAUCACACAUGAUAGAAAAACUCAAAACUAAUACAAAUCAGAGAGAGUGCCUACCUGGUCCAACGUACAACAUUUCUUUAUUAAAGGGCCAACAGGAAAGGCAUCACUCAGCUGCUCUUUUAGAUCCUUCAGUUCCCUUUGUGACUCUGAUAUCCCUUCAGAGUCCUUCAAUCAUGAUCAGAAAACAAGAAAAAAGUUAUCAAAGUUAUCAAAGCUUCACAAACUCCUAGAAAGUAUCCUAAUAACCAUUCGGUAUACACACACUUGAAAAAUUACUUUUAUUCUUUUUGUCAUCUCGCAUAAGAUGCCACGAAAAUAAAGCAUUCCUCGAUUUAUCAGUUCCGUCCUAUAGAAAAGUUACAAGGCUAAAAGGUUACCUCUUUCACUGGAACUGGGGUAAUUGACCUCAUAUGAGAUGAAAUUGGUAAAAUAUUCAGCUCAUCAUCCAUUACUACACAUGAUUUGCAUGACGCAAGUGACAAUAAGAAACGCUCGUUAAAACGUCCAGUAGCCUUAGAAUGGGAUUCAGUUCGAAACCUAUCAUGAACAUCCUGAAAUCAAGAGGCGCUGAUAAGACUGUAUGGAGAUUUUUGCAUUUGAGAGAACGAGAAAGACAGUGUUGCAAAUAAAACAUGACAUAACGGAAUUGUUAUCAAAUAUAAUAUGUGGUGCAUGGCUAUUGCUAUAUUCGUUCUAAGUCCAUAAUGUAGUAAAACUAGAAACUACCUCAACAAGAAGAACAAAUAUUAUGAGGAAACCUAGUUGUUUUUUCUUCUUCUUUUUGGGGCUAGAACAUGAAAAGAAACAACUAGUCUACAUAGGCCCAACUGGGAAACUUAUAUGUUCAGCAGCAUUCUCUUAAAGAAAGUCAAGCAAUUGAAUCUACCAAAAGUCUUCUUGUAGCCAAGCACAUCAUUACGAAAAAAUUCGGAAACUUUUAACAUGGCUAGUUUUCAAGAUUUUGCGGUAUAUAAUAAGCAUAACCAUGCUGGCCUAAAAACUAAGCAUUAAUUGUGUGCAUGCGUAAGAGAAAGAGGUAUUAUUAUAUGCAUACCAUAACCAUGGUGUAGAGGUUGGUGAGUGAGGUUAGAGAAUGAAGCAACAAUAUGACUAGUCCACCUCCCUCCACUGUCUCUAUCGUUCUUGCUAGUAGAUUUGGAGUCAAGGCCUCAAAAUCCUAAUGCAGGAGAUCAAACUUAGUCAUAAAACUUAAAUCAAUUAUACAAGGGGUCUUGGCCAAACCAGUAAAUUUGUAAGUUUCAAGUUACCUGAAGUAUACACAUUCCAAAGGUAUUACCAAGAACUCUUUCUGAAUCCUUGUACAAGCAAUAAGUCAAUCCCCCACUUUCAACAAAAAGUGAGAAAGGAUCAACCUUCUCGGGAUCAAGCAGCCCCCUCUGCAUCAUCUUUUUUACUUGCUUAGCACGUUUUUUCUUGUGACUGCAUCAUGAAGUAGUCAAACGCAACGAAUCAAUAUAUUUUAAAAACGAAAUUCCGCCUUGCCUUAUAAUAAGGUGAAGAAUGGAAGGUAGAAGAAAUCAACCUGCUGAGCUCGAGCUUGUCCUUGUAGCACCACAACACAGUCGGGCGCGAUUUCUUUACUUCAUUGCUUAGCAUAUAAUGAAGAUUCACAAUCUGAAGACCAUAUAAAACUCCAUAUUAGCCAUUUUCCGUUAGUUUUCGAUAGAUUUUCGAUGAUAUUUCUUACCUUGUUUGAGGUUUUUAGUGUUACUCGGUGAGUAUUGCAGGUGAAAACAAGAAACAGUAAAACUGGUAAAAUUUUCUACCCAAUUCAAUUUAAAUCAUUGUUAUAACUCCUCAAAUUGAAUAGGAAUAGCAAAUAGGGAAUGGGAUAGGAAAGGCAGAAGAAAUUAGGAGUACCUGGUCACGGGAUUUGUCGCCGACGAUGACGAACAUGGAGCGGUGCCGGUUUUUGACGCCAUUGCUUAUUAGGGUUCGGAUUCGUUCGUCCACCUUCUUCCUCAUUCUCUCUCUCUCUUCUCUCUCUGUGCAAUUAGGUUUAGGGUUUAUACCAUAGGGCAGUUGUCGUCGUCGGGCAGGGUUUAAGCCGAACUAGUGAGAGAGAGACUAGACAUCGCGGAGAGAUAUUGAGUUCAUCUCAACCGUUGAUUGGCUAUCUGAUGGCUGUUAUCAAAGCUGACAUAAAAAUGAAAACUCAACACGUGGCCAAGUAUUUUUUUUCUCUCUUUUUUGGCUUAUUUAUUGAUUUGCCCCAGAAAUUAUUUUUUUUGUCUUACUCUAGGUCAUGAAACAGAAUUUAUCUUACUUUAUCUUCUAAAACUACCAAAAUCGAGUCAUUUCACCCAUGUUUUGUCAAUUCUAUCUCAUAAACGUUAAAUAAAAGGGAGUCUAAACAUUUCAUACCAUGCUAGCAAAGAUGAGCCACUGUUGUUGGUGAGGUACGAAAUUUUCAAACUUUCCUAAACCUUUAAAACUUAAAAGGUAUCUUGAAUAUGAACGUAAAUGAGGUAAAGUUGCUCAAUUUUGGCAAUUUAUGAAGGGUAAAAUGAGACAAAUUCAAUUUAAGGCUAAAGUGAGAGUAAAUGGCAGUUUCAUGAGAUAUAUCAAUAAAUAAAUCUUUUCUAGAAUACAACUAAAUUAUGUACUCACGGUAAAAGAUAAAUUAAUAUCGAACUUGUCAUUGACGAUAUCUAAACAUAAAACCUUUCAAGUUUUUACCUAUAAGAAUAAAUUUGGUAUAGUAAUUUCUUUUCUAAUUUAAAGUUUCCCAUAGAGUUAUGACGAAUUUGAUACCAAAUUAGGCUGUCAUUGUGUGGCAUAGCCGAAUUCCUCCUCCCUUACUUUAAAAAUAACGAUGUACUCAAAAAAAGUUUCCCAUAGAGUUAAAAUGAUCUUUAGUUGCUUGCUGAGACAACCCAUAUGUAUAAUAAGACAUUGAAAAAGGUGCCUCUGUCAUUUACACUCACACGAUCGAAUAAGUAGCUCCGACAGUUGCAUCAUAAAAUUAAGGGGUUUUCCGAGAUUGUAGUAAGGUUGACGAUUAAAGUUUGGGAAAUUUUCAGGUUAAGGAAUCAAGGGAUCACAUUUUCAAGUUUCGUAGGCAUUCUCUUUCCUUUGGAAUGGUGUUGGAAUCCGUCCUGAAGUUGCCCAUUCCUUUGCUCUUGAUUUUCAGAGUUGGAUAGCUAUAAACCUUAGGACACAUUGUACCACCAUACAUGGUUUACCUUGGAACCUUAUCUUUAAUUCAACUCUCUGGCAUUGCUGGAAAUGGAGGAAUAACUUUGUCUUCAAUGAUGGCCAACAACCGCUUGACUCACCCCAGAAUUUCAUUUUUCAAUUUGCAAGGGAAUGGUGUGAUGCGAACAAGUGUUCUUCUAGUAAGCCUCCUAGACAAAAUCAUCUCAAUCCAUUGGAUUCGUUUGCCAAUUGGUAUACAAAAUCAAUACAGAUGGGAGUUGUAAAGACCCAUUUAGCCACAUAAGUGCUGGAGGUUUGCUUCGUAAUUCUGAAGGGAAAUGGAUUAAGGGAUUUGCUGCUAAUUUGGGCAGAGGAACCAUCAUGGAAGGUGAGCUUUAAGGGUGGUUUCAUGGGACUUUCUAUAGGUUGGGAUGAGAGUUGCAAGGAAGUGAUUAUUGAAUGUGAUUCUUAUGCUGCUGUUACUUUGAUCCAACAACCUAUUUUAGUUCCCACUCUACAAUCUCAUUAUUGACUGCAAAGAAGCCAUUGAAAGAAAUUGAAGAUGUGAAGUUACUCAUAUCUAUAGAGAAAAUAAUGUCUUAGCUAAUCACACGUCUGACUUAGGUCAUGGGUUAUCACUUGGUCUUCAUGUUUUUGCUUCUCCUUCUACCAUUGCUACUAAUUUUAUAGUUUCUAAUACUAUUGGCAGGGCCCUCCCUAGAGCUGUUUUUUAGUAGCUUUUUUGUUUUGCUUGUUGGGCUUUGCCCUCUUCUGUACCCAAAAAAAAAAAAAAAAAAAAAAAUAUUGGGAAAUUUAUUUGGACCCAACUUUUUUAUCUCUACACCCAAAUAAUAUUUUCUCUUAUCUAAUCUUCCAAAUUUGUCCUUAAAUAACAAACAUUGAAGUUUUCUUUGUAUCUCUACACCCAAACCCCACGAUCCACCACUGUAGGGCGCUCCAUUAUUUCCGACAAACCCAACUCAAACGCCAGCAACACUAAAAUCGACAAAUCAAGACUGGAGAACAAAUGGUGUAGGAGUCCUAAUGUGAAUAUUAAAGCAAACUUAAGUUGCAAAACCCUUUUUUAUUUCAAUCGAUGAAAGGACCUUGGGUUAUGAACAUAAGGAACCUAUUAGGGUUUAGAGGUCCCCUCCACAUCAUAUGCAUAAGCCCUUUUUCUUCAUUCAUUAAUUUACGGAAGGGAAAAUUAAUACUAUUAUUCUCAUAAAAAGUGGGAAUACCAAGGAAAGAGAUCCUCUCCACACCAUAUAUUUUUCUUUUCUGAGUAGUUAUAUCCAAUGGAGAGAGGAAAACAAGAGCACCAAUGGUCGCAGGUUCACCGGAGAAAAUGAAGGUGCAGUGGUGAUGUGAGUUUAGGGUUAUUGGGUGUAAAGAUAACAACUUUAAUAUUUAUUUUCUCAUUUUUAUUUAUUUAAGGGCAAAUUUGAAAGUUUAGUAGAGAAAAUUUGUUAGUUGGGUGUAGAGAUAAAAAGGUUGGGUCCAACAAAAUUUCUCAUAAAGUUUAAUCACGCGAUUAAGUUCUUGUGCAAUGAGUAAAUUGUAGCAAUGACCCAUCAACUAAAAAUCCAUUAUUAUUGAUCCCUCAACUCAUCAAAAUAUGUAGUUAUGGUCAUUUUCGUCAACUUUGUAAGAAUUUUGUCAAAAUAAAUUAUGUUGGAAGGACCAUUGUUACAAUUAAGGUCCUUCAACUCAUCAAAACAUGUAGCUAUGGUCAUUUUCGUCAACUUUGUCAAAAUGAGUUAUGUUGGCAUGACCAUUAUUGCAAUUGGGUUAAAGUUGAGGAAUCAUUGCUCCAAUUGGGUUAAAGUUGAGGGAUCAUUUCUCUAGUUAGAUUAAAGUUGGGGGACCAAUGAUAAUUAAGUUUUAGUUAAGGGAUCAUAGUUGCACGUUUUGAUGAGUUGAGAGAUCAAUGAUAAUGAAUUUUUAGUUAAUGGAUCAUUACUCCAAUUGAGUUAAAAAUAAAGGACCAUUGCUACAAUUUACUCUUGUGCAAUAGAAGAUUAAUUUGGCCGAACAACCUGAUUAAGGUGCCUACUUUCUCUUUAAUUCAUUGGUAUCAUUUAUUUUCCCUUAAGCUGAAUUAUGCUCAAUUUAUGUAUCAAUAUUGUAAAGUUGUCUUUGUUAGAGUAAUUUGGACAAUAUAAAUUGAAAAUUAUUUGUGUAUAUGGAAAAGAUUAACCUCAGGGGUCACUUCGCCGGACUCCGUAGCAAUCUCCACCACUCCAAUCGUAAUGGUGAGUAAAUCACUUGUGUUUGUUUCCAUUUUUUCAAUUGGAAAUUGGGGGUUUUGAAUUCAUAUUUUGUCAAUUGGUUUUGUGAGCACUGAGAAUACACUACGAGCUUGUGUGUGUGUACAAUAUGUUGGAUUUGAUCUUUAUAAAGAAUGCGAGAAAUUGGGGUUAGGAAAGAGAAGAAAAGGAAACAGAACUCGAACUUCGAUCUUCAUUCUUGUUACUAAAGGAGAAAACCGAAUUUGAACCGGUUCAUACGUAAUCGAACCGAAUUUGUAUAGUUCGGUUCACCCCUUAGUACCGAACCGUACCAUACCAAAAAAAAUUUCUUGAGUUUGGUUUUGAUACAUCCCUCAUACUGUACCAUACCAAAUCGUGGCCAGACCUACUGAAUACAAAACUUAUAUCUGGGUCGUAAGUCGUAAGGCCUCCAAAAAAAAAGUUCAUAUUAUUCAUACCAAUCGGACAAAUCCCGCACCCAAAAACAAUGGCUAGAUAGAAAGUUCAAUUAUAGAUUAGGUAAUCUAUCCUUUUCAACUUAAAUGCACAUUCAUGAUGGUUAUGCAAAUCAUAUUAUGUUAACAAAUGCAACAAUUAAUUAUAUUUAUCCAUUUGGAAUGAUAUAUAUUUUCAAAGAUGGAAUUACAGACCCCGUUGACGUUGAGGCCAUUGCAUGAGAGAAUUUUAGAUGAUUUUCAAUUAAUUUAUAUUAUUGUUGUGAUAACCAUAAUAAUUAUUUUCUAAAUGUAAAACUAUAUUAAUGAAAUUUUCUUUGUCGGUCAAAAGAAGAUGAAAAGAUAUCUUUAUCUUCUAUCACAACAAAAAAAUUAAGGAUAUUAAUGUAAUAGGCUAAUAGCGAUGGGGUGAAGAAAUGGAACUAUCCUAAAUAGGCAGUUGCUGGUUAUAUUGGAUCAGGUGGUCUGAAUGAUUGGAUAAUUAGCAAAUAAAAAGGUUCCAUUUUUCAUGGACCCUCAAGUGGAAAUAUGGGAUAAAAGAUGGCAUAUACCAUUUUAUCCAUUUGUGAUUGUACAUUUUGAUGGUUGUGAUUUCACCCGAUGGCGCGGCAAGUGUGGAUUGGGAUAAGGAUGGUUUUGGUCUAUCAUCAAAGAUGGUUUGAUGUUCACGACUGGAUUUUACAACGCAUCCAAGUGCAUGGGUUCUAUAAAUACAGAGUUGCGCACAAUAAAAAAGUACAAAGGACCUUCAAACCUUUCACACACUCUGAGAAACUCCUGAUUCUCCCAACUUCGUCAACACAUCUUCAAUUUGGAUUAACAUCACUGUUUGUCAGUGAGGAGUCCUUAGUCUUCUCGUCUCAUUAGCCCUCUAGGUGAAGUGAGGUGUUACUGAAUUACUUGAGUAUUCAGCACAUUGAAAGUCGAACCUUAUUUGAACUUCACAGUAGUUAGCAAUCUUAUCUUCAGGUUUUAGAACCCAAUGCCAAGACAUAUUCCUUCCUCGACAGUGAUGGUUUGUACACAAAAGUUGGUUUGUACACAUAAGUCAGUAUUGUGUUUGACACACCAUCCCAUUCAUUCUACUAGCCCACAAACGCGUGGACUCGUCCAAAAUUACCCCACUCUCGGCCCGUUCACUUGCCCACUCGUCCCACGCGGCCCGUGAGUCUUCAGUGCCUGAUAGGGGGGCCUACUGUUAGGGCCGUUGUUGGCCACAACCCAGAGCCCAACGAUUUUUUUUUGCAUCCCACGACUGGCAUUUUUGGACCGUUGGUUGAUCCAACGGUCCAGAUUCAAAUUUUGUUUUUUUAAAUGUUAUUUUAAAAUACAUUGAAUCCAACGGCUGAGAUCGAAUAUAAUCAAAUCUAACGGUAAAAUAAAAAAAGAUAAAAAAAGAUAUAACAGUCCAAAUUUAAAUCCAACAGCUAAAAUAAUUUUAAAAAAAAUUAUUUAACUCAAAAUUCACCCAAAAACUCUAUAAAUACCUUUGUAUUUGUUCAAACAUCCACACAAAACUCAAUUUUCUCCCACAAUUCUUCCAUUUUUUCUUUCUACCAUUUCUUUCCAUUUCCAAAUUGUUCAACACGAUCCUUGAAUUGGCCAUCCCAAGCAGUAAGACAAUUCUUCCACUCCCAAAGCAUACAAUCGAGACUUCCUAUCAUGUCAGGAAAGCCUAUUUUGUCUGCUUUGAGUAGAAUGUGACGACAUGUCCCGAAUUAUUAUAUAUUUUUCUCCCUAAGUGUGUAAAGUGACGGUAAUGCCCUCGUGAUUUAGUGACGUGGAUGUACAUAUGUAGUUUUAAAUUAUUAUUUCUAUUGUCGUAGUUAAAUUGUACUCGACGCCAUGAGUGUGUUGAUGUGACCUAGGGCUAAAACAAAUUCGUAACGAAGAAGUUACGAACAGACGAGUGUGUAAAUGCGUAGAAAUAUAUUUUUAUGGGUUGGCUAUACCUUACCCACCAAUCACCUUAAUUCCUGAUUUCUUUGGCCUAAUUGAAUUAAAAAUAUCUCUCAUUUUUCCUUCUGCCCAAUCACGCACAUACACACCAUCACUCUCUCUCUUCUCUCGGACCUUCUUCUUCUUUCUUCUCAUUCCGUACACCCGAGCCACCCUUACCUCACAAUCAUCAUCAAAACAUUAUGGAUCGAAUUGGAAAUCACUACCAUCGCAGUCACCUCGAUCCCACGAACUCAUUGAUACCCUUAGGUCGAGGAAUAGACGUCGGGAAUUCGAGAACUCGGGAGCUCUGGCGAGGUGUAUUUUUCUACUUUGUGAUCGUGGUCUUUUUCUAUGGUUUAAAGGCUUGAGGUGGGUCCUAAUCAACUUUAUAGGGACCCUAGAUUAGUUUUGGAGCAGUUUGAACGUUGGAAUAGGUGAGAACAUGGAGUUGCAGGUUGGCCGGUUGAUCCAAGCCUUACUCCGACCACUUUCUGUCGGUUUUAGAACCUCAAGUAGGUAAGAUUGUAUUCUUCUAGUUGAGAGUUUCAAAUCCAUAUAAAAUUCAUGGAAUUUGGUUGAAAAAUGAUGAAGAUAUUAAAGUUUUAAGAUUUUUCCAAAAAUCAGCGACACAAACGGCGCCCGACGGCCAGCGAUGGAUUCCGACAAAGCCAUCGGAGAAGGAGGAGAAUAUUAUGUCUAACUUUGACAGAAUAUACUAACAGCGUCAGGUAACUCUAUUAGUUUUUAAACAAAAUAUUCUACUAUUUAAUGAAAUAUUCCCUAACGCCGUUAGGGAUUCCGUGCCUGCACGUGCCGGCUUAUGAGGGCGCGUGAGACGUCAGGAAAUUAAUCUAAAAAUAUUGGGGUGUUCGAGUUGUUGAGUAGGUCAUGUUGGUAUAUUCAAACACCCUAUUUGAGCAACGUAUGAGAAGUUAUUCCUAGGGUUUGUGUAUGUGCCUUAAAAUUAAUGUAAAAUUAGUUAUUUCGCAUAUAGGUGAGACUUACCCGGAGGACAAACGUGGUCAAACGAGACUUGGGGGCUACGAUCCUACUACUUACCAGUGAGCGGGCUUUUUUUUUCUAUAUAUAUGUAAAUAUGCUUAUGAAUCCCAUAAACUACUUUAAAUGAACGUAUGUUUUAAAUGCCAUGUCGUGUGCAUUAUGUGUUAGUAUUGCAUUAGUAUAGCUAUGCAUAGUAUUGGAUGAGACUGCGCAGACUCAGGUAAGUUUCAGGUGAGUACAUCAUGAUGGUAUUGGGUGCGUGUGUGUGGUUAUACGUUGAUGCAUUUUGAGCUUAUUAUCCUGCACAUUGGUGUUAGUGUUCUCGCCCAUGGCCAGGGCAUAGUUUUUCACAUGAUGUUCACCUCCUGGGCCGCACGCUCACUUUGGAUCCAAGUUUGGUGCACAGCCAUAUUGCACAGACCACAAUAGGUGGUUCCGACUCGUAGGUGACCUGCAAUUAUUUGCACAGCCUUCACGUGAUCGUAGCACUUAAGCGUACUUAUCUACACCCAGCCCUGUUGUACAGACCACAAUAGGUGGUUCCGACUUAUGUGCAUGCAUACUUGAUGAGCUAUAGAUUCAAUUGUACAGGUUACAUUAGGUGACUCCGGUUGGCAUACUAUUUUAGGUUGAUUCGUAUCACCUGGCUUACACAUUUUAUGGUUGAACAUCUUGACAUGGCAUACCUCUGUUUUCACUGCUCUAAGCAUUAUCCUUAUGUACCUAGUUGUUAUUAUUUUCUGGAAAAUUAUAUGGGUUUACAGUGAGGGGUUAGUAUGUUCAUAAAGACAACUGUGUUUUCAAAAACUUUGUUUUUGCCUACUCACAUUUUUUGUUUUGCACCCUUUCAGGUUCUAGGUAGUUGGUCAUCCUUGGUGGCUCACGAGGACUUUCACGGCGGUUCUGACAUCUCUGUAAAUAAGUAGGGAUUUUUUUCCCUGUUUGUAUAAUUAGUACUUAGUUGGUUCGAUUGCACUUUCGUUUACCCAUGCUCUGAUAUUUGUAUAACUUGCUUGGUCAUCUUUACUCACUUAUAUUAUCUUAGUUUAGAUAAGUUUGGUUUUAGGUUUUUAUUUAUUCGCAUUUCUUUUAUUAUUACUUCUGUUGCGCAUUUUGGCUACGUUACUCUUACGUGACGGGCAUCAUGUUUCGACUUCGGUUGGGGUGUGUCAUAAAAGCCUCUUCAAGUCUUCAUGAUUUGGCUUGCAGAGAUAUGUGGCUCCAUAUGUGGCCUGAAUUGCCCCACAGAAGCGCUCCAGGUUUUUAAUAGCAGUAGUCUCCGCAAGUCGGCAAUACUCAUCAGUUGAGUUUGCAGAGCACUCAUUAGCUAGCAUCCGAAAUGCAGAUGUGAGCUUCUGAUGAGGUGAUAGACUUUGUCGGCCUACGACAUUUAUCUUCCUUGCAAAGUAGUGGUCAUGAUUGACAACUGUGUUCAAGAUGCUUUCAAAAAUCUCUCUCCUCAUUCGAAACCGUCUCCGAAAAUCAUGAGCAGGAAAUCUCGGACGCUCAAUAAAAUAAUAUUUCAUCAUUCGGUCAUGACACUCUUCUCUAUCACGUUGCACAAAUGAACGCUUCGUGACAUAACCACAAUAGCUAGAUUCGACAUGGUGCUCAUAUUGCAUAAGCGAGUUUGGAAGUUUAGCUUAUGCGUUGAUCAUUUUUGAAUCCUCAAUGUCAAGGCUUGCUUGGUAUUAUGUCAUUUGCAUUGCCCUGCUACACCUUCUUCUAUCAUCCAUUGUUGAUAUAUUGAGGAUUUUUAUGAAACAAAAACACUUUGAAAGUUGAAAGAUUAGUGAAUAUAGGGAAUGAUUGAAGGUUGAAAGAUUGUGUGACCAACUGAUAUUGAACAUGUGUUUAUAUAGAGGAUGAUUGAUGAAAGUUGAAAGUUUGGUGAAAGUUGAACGGUUGGUGAAAGUUGAAGAUUUGUGAAAGUUAAAGACUUGCUUUGUGGAAAGAUUUAGUGAUUUUUUCAAUAUUUAUUGGAAUUUAAAUAUUUUUAUAUUAAAAUGUUCAUAAAAUUAAUUUACCAUAGGCUACAUAAUUUUUUUUAAAAGUUAAUUUAAGAAAAAAAAUUAGCCUAAGUUCAUUCUUUAAUAAUCCCGAACUAAAAUUUUAGGCUAGGGUUGGAGCAGAAAAACUGUUUCUGUGUUAAAAGCUAAAUUUUUUAGAUUAAAAAUUUUAAAUUUUAACCCAAAGGUUGGAGAUGAUUUAAGAAUGGAUAAACUUAACCAAGAAAAGAAGAAAAAAGAUGAAGGGCAAAUAAGUGAGAAGCAACAUGACACGACACACGGACGACCAUAGCAAUAAAGCGUGCGUCCUCACGUCCAUUGAAUAUAUAGAUGGGAGCUACAACAUCGUGUUUCACGUGCAUGUGUAUUAUACAUAAAGGCAUAUACAGUGUUAGCUUAUAUAUUAUAAAGUUUGUAGGCCACUUACCCAAUUUGGCAUAUGUUUUAUCUUUUUACGUGAAUAACCAAUGUGUUAUGAUGAUACAAGUCUCUUAACAUAUCCGGAGUUAGAAAUAUCAUAAGACAGUGUUGCGAUCAUAUUGAAAUUAAUUGACAGUUUGUAUUAUAUAUUUGAUUAUUCUUUAUUAACUUAAGGAGACAGCAUACUUAGACCUAAUUUAGUCACAUUCUCCAACCGAAAAUAAAGCGGUGUAGUAUUCAUACACUUUUUUUUAUUUCUUACACAGUCUUAAUUAAUUUCUAUUGUUUGAUCUUCUUCAAUUCAUUCGAUCUGACGACCGAAAAUUAAGAUGGUGUGUGGACGAGUAAAUUAUAACAAUGGUCCCUCAACUUUAAUCAAAUUGGAGCAAGGGUGCUCAACUAAAAAUCCAUUACCAUUGGUUCCUCAACUCAUCAAAAUGUGUAGCUAUGGUCAUUUUCGUCAACUUCGUUACAAUUUUGUCAAAAUAAGUUAUAUUGGAAUGACUAUUGCUACAAUUGGGGUCCCUCAACUCAUCAAAACGUGUAGCUAUGGUCAUUUUCAUCAAUUUCGUUAGAAUUUUAUCAAAAUGAGUUUUGUUGGAAUGACCAUUGCUACAAUUGAAUUAAAGUUGAGGGACUAUUAUUUCAAUUGAGUUAAAGUUGAAAGAUCAUUUCUUCAGUUGUAUUAAAGUUGAAGGAUCAAUGGUAAUGAAUUUUUAGUUGAGGGGACUAUAGCUGCACGUUUUAAUGAGUUGAGAGAACAAUAAUAAUGAAUUUUUAGUUGAAAAACUAUUACUUCAAUUGAGUUAAAAUUAAGAAACAAUUGCUACAAUUUUUUUAUAUGGAAAGUGGAUGAUGUGAAUAGCACAUCCAAAAAUAAAAGGGAACUUUAACGAAAAGCACCCGGUACUGUUCACUUUAACGAAAAACCACAUUUUUACACUAAAAAGUCAAUCCUGGUACUAUUCACUUUACCCUUUAUUUUGUCCUUAUCAUUAAAACUCAAAGUUUUCAAGCCCUUUUCAUUAGUUUUCCUAAAAUAAAAUGCACCACAAUUUGGUAGGAUCUUCCUGUUGAGAGUAAUAAAUUAAUAAUUGCCGAAAUAUUGGAUAAUUUGUCGGCCACAACGCUAUGAGGGAGUAUCUGGGGAUGAAUAUACUCUUGCCGACAGAUGCCCAAAUUCCAACUGCCAUUCAAAUGAGCCCUCCACCACCACCGGCCAUAAUAAAUUCUCUUUCUUUAGUGAAGAAGAAAAAGAGGUACUUGGCCCUCACCUCAACUUUUUGAGAAAGAACAAGUUUAUCGCUAUCAGAAUGUUUCGGUCAAUUAUAUAAGUUAUGUGUAAAUUUUUCUUUAGAUAACAUUACAUUAUUAUAUUUAAAAUGUUCCGUAACGAUAAAUUUGUUUCAUACAAAUUAUUCUCCAACUUCUUGGAUUUUUCUCCUUUUUCCCGAAAACCAGCUUAUAUUAGUGUUCAUCCUCUGUCAAUAUCACUCGCCCACAACUAUUCAACUAACUUUUAAUAAUUUGACAACGUGUCAUAUUUUUGUGCAAAGCGGGCCCAUUUUUGUGGGUGAUAUAAUAAUGGCGUAUGUGGUUUGUCAAGACAUAUACUCAUUUAUCCAUUAGCAGUUAGGUAAGUCACCUCACUCACCCACAGCCUAACACAUCAACAAAUAUUGCUUACAAAUUCUAGAAAAUUCGACCAAGAAAAAAAACCAAAUGCUCGCAAAUUAAAAUUGUGUAACAUGAUUAGUUUUUUAUCCAUUAGUAUUAAUUUUACGUUGGAAGAAAUUCCAAAUUUAUUCUUGUAAAGAGGGAUAUGAAAAUACUUUGUAUGUCUAUCACCAAAAUCUUCGAAUGUUUGAAUGGUUGAUUUUCAAGUCUCACACAAUUGGAUUUAGUUCAAGUGAGAAAGAAAUACACUCAAACUAUUAGAUAUGAGGAAUGAAAAUACACUACAAAAUCUUGUGAACAUUUCUAAUAUUCUCUUCUAUCUACUUUUUGUGAACCAAGUUUUUAUUUGUUUUUUUUUUUAACAAAAGAUAUUUUUUAUACUAGGGAAAUAAGGUGGGUUUAGCCUCAUAAUGGGCUAACAUAAUCUAGUUCAAACUUGCAUUUGGUGAGAAUCGAACCUAAAAUCUCUCACUUACAAGUGAAGAGGAAUACCAUUAGAAGUGUCAUGAAAUUAGCAGUCUUAUAUGUAAAAAAUUGAUUGACUAAAUGCUGUGUUAAAAAACAAGAUUAAUACUUGCAUCUCCCCACUUGGAAAAUGCAAAUAUUUCAUUUCUUGCAAAUAACGUAUAUCAUGCGUUCUGUUCAAUCGCAUAUUCAAAAAUGUUAAAAACAAGAUUAAUAUUUCUAUCUCCCCACUUGGAAAAUGCAGUAUUUCAUUUUUUACGAAUAACGUAUAUCCUGUGUUCCGUCCAAUCGCGUAUUAAAAAAAUGUGUGAAGUUUGGAUUAACUACACUCUUUGAGAAUUUCCUUAAAUAACCACUUUUUGAAAAUUUCUUAUAGGACUAAGUGAGUCUCCGCUGAGAAUUUCCUUAACUAACACAACACUACUUGAGUGAUAAUUUGUUAUAUCUUGAAUAGAGAAUAAAUCAGUUCCCUACUUUUGAAGGUACUAUUAACUUACACUAUAUUUGAAUGAGAACAAUAAACUUAGAAUUUAGAUGAAGGAAAUAAAACAGUUUCCUACUUUUGAAGGUACUACUCGAGUGAUAAUUUGUUAUAUCUUGAUAACGUGUCAUAUUUUUUUGCUAAGCGGACCCAUUUUUGUGGGGUGGUAUAAUAAUGGCGUUUGUUGUUUGUCAAGGGCAUAUACCCAUUUAUCCAUUAGCAGUUAGGUCACCUCACUCACCCACAACCUAGUACAUCAACAAAUAUUGCUUACAAAUUCUAGAAAAUUCAACCAAGAGAAAGAAAACCAAAUGCUCGCAAAUUAAUCUGUGUAACAUUAGUUUUUAUCCAUUAGUAUUUAUUUUACAUUGGAAGAAAUUCCAAAUUUAAUCUCGUAAAGAGGGAUAUGAAAAUACUUUGUAUAUCUAUUAUCAAAAUCUUUGAAUGUUUGAAUGAUUGAUCAUCAAGUCUCACACGAUUGAAUUUAGUUCAAGUGAGGAAGAAAUACACACAAACUAUUAUAUAUGAGGAUUGAAAAAUACACUACAAAAUCUUGUGAUAACAUUUCUAAUAUUCCUUUCUAUCUACAUUUUGUGAUAAGUUUUUUUUUUCCUUUUUUGAACAAACUAUAUUUAUCUACAUUAAGGGAGAGGAGGUGAUCUUAGCCUCACAAUGGGCUAGCAUAAUGUGGUUCAAAUUCGCCUUUGGCGAUAAUCGAACCUAAAACUUAUCAUUUACAAGUAAAUAGGAAUACCACUAGAUGGAUCAUGAAAUUAGCAGUCUUAUAGGUAAAAAAAAAUUGAUCGACUAAAUGAUGUGUUAAAAAACAAGAUUAAUACUUGCAUCUCUCCACUUGAAAAAUGUAGAUAUUUCUGUGAACACGGAAAAUUCCUGAAACGAAAGAGACAAGAACAACGUGCACAAAAUAAUAUUUUGGUGUUAAUGGAUUUGUUGGGUUACGAUCUCUUUUAACUUGAUCCUCUGAUUCGAUCUCCGUAAGGUGUUGAUUUAUGGAUGUUUCGUUGAUCCAAGGGCUGUUGAGGCUUGAUCUUAGAUGAACUGUUGGAAGUUUCUUCAAGGGGCCGUGGGCUUGAUCUUUGAAGGUGGAUUUGAGCGGAUCUUCAAGGAGCCGUUGGGGCUUGAUCUUGAGGAUGAGUGUUUCUUCAAGGGCCGUUAAGGCUUGAUCUUGAAUAACGGUGAUGAACGGAUCUUCAAGGGCUUUUGGGCUUGAUCUUGAAGAACGGUUGGAUGUGUGGAUUUGUUGAUGUUGUUGAUCCAAGGGCCGUCGGAGCUUGAUCUUGGAAGAACGAUGAACGAAGAACGAAGAACACUUUCUUCAAAGGCCGUCGGGGCUUGAUCUUGAAUUGGUGAUUGUUGAUCCAAGGGCCGUCGGGGCUUGAUCUUGGAAGAACGAUGAACGAAGAACGAAGAACACUUUCUUCAAGGGCUGUCGGGGCUUGAUCUUGAAUUGGUGAUUGUUAAUCCAAGGGCCGUCGGGGCUUGAUCUUGAUUCUUCGGGAUGAACGGAUGAUGAACAAUGAACACUUUCUUCAAGGGCCGUCGGGGCUUGAUCUUGAAUUGGUGGAAGUUCUUCAAGGGCCUUUGGGGCUUGAUCUUGAAGGUGGAUGAUUGUUGAUCCAAGGGCCGUCGGGGCUUGAUCUUGGGAUGAACAGUUGUGUGGAUUUGUUGAACACUUUCUUCAAGGGCCGUCGAUGCUUGAUCUUGAAUUGGUGGAAGUUCUUCAAGGGCCGUUGGGGCUUGAUCUUGAAGGAGGAUUUGACGAAGAACGAAGAGGGCUUUCUUGAUCCUUCGGGAUUUGCUUGAAUUUGGGAGGUUGGAUGCUUGAAAGCUUUAGAGUUUCAAAGCUUCAAGGAUUUUGGAUGUGUGGGGAGUAUUCUCUUCCAUUUUGGGAGUAGAGAAAUGUAUUUGUGAAUUGGUUUUUGAUACCUUGAUGUAGAAGCCUAUUUAUAGGCUUUGAGAAUGAAUCACCACCACAAAAUAUUUUUUUUCUUUUCCAAGCACCAUUGCCUAAUUUCCCACUUAAUACAAUUUUAAACUUGAAGUGGUAAUUUUAUGGCCUAAUUUUCCACUUAAUAUCAUUUUAAACUUGAUAUGUGCAUGCUUUGUCAUUGCCCAAAAUGAGAAGAAAACCUUGUUUUGAUCUUCAAUGAAUUGAAAUGUGCUUGCCUUGUCAUUGCCCAAAAUGAGAAGAAAAACUUGUGUAAUCCUUCAAGGGUAUUUCUUUUUAUUUUGUUGAGUCGCACACCAUGUGUACAAUUUGUAUGACACGUGGCAUAUGCCAUGUACGCCUUGACACGUCAAAAUUUUAAUGCGUUGGUGAACAUUUAUUUCACCGCAAUUUCGGUGUCUACAAAUGCCCCCACUUCAAGGUGCGUCGUAUACAUGUGCUUGUCACGUGUAGGAGAUGCGUUUUGAAGUCCCUUACUGUAGAUGUCAAUCCAAUGGCCAUCGAGGCUUGAUCUUGAAUUGGGCUGGAGAUUUCUUCAAGGGCCGUUGAGGCUUGUUCUUGGACUUUGUUUGAAAUUUCUUCAAGGGCCAUCGAGGCUUGAUCUUGAAGGUUGAAAUUGGACCACAAGGAGCUUCAUGUGGUAGAUGAUCUUUGGCUUUGGUAGUGGAUGAAUCGGCACGUAUUUGUUUUUGCGCUUUGUUGACUUUCCACAGCUUUGAUCUUGAACUGGGUUGGAGGAUUUUUUGGAUUCCUCCAAUUGUUGAUUUUCCACAGUUUAUUCUUGAACUGGAUUUGAUUCAAAUAUGGUGGACGCUUGAUCUUGAAUCGGACUUGUGAUUUCCUCAAGGGCCGUCGAGGCUUGAUCUUGAAUUUGGCCGGAAACUUCUUCAAGGGCCGUUGAGGCUUGAUUCUUGAAGGUUGACUCGAACACAUGGCAAGCAGGCACGAGGUGAAGGUGACGACUUGUUGCUUUGUUCAAUCUUUCUAAUUCACACCUGAGCAGUUUGGUCAACGGUAUGAUCUUCAAGAUUGAUGGGCUCUUCUUCCAGUUGGUGAUUUGAUCUUUAAGGAUUUGAUUCAAGGGUGGUGAAACGGCACAUGCAGCCCACAACGCCUAGCAAGUCGACCCAAGAAUUUGAGGGUUAAAACGAGUCCUCCACCCAGAGUGAUUGCAAACCUGAUGAUAUGAGAUACUUUUGAUUUUGAAGAAGUAGCGGAUGAAUCGGCACGUGCUUUGUUGUGCUUGUCUCCACAUGCUUCAAUGUAUCAUUUUCCCUUGUCUUAUCUAUUCUUCUAGCAGAAUGUAGCAUCUUCUUAAGUUCUUCAACUCAGACUCCUUCUGCUGAGCUGACUGUGCAGGCUGCAUUAUUCUCUGCUUGUUUCUUUAGGCAGAUGUGGCAGCUUCUUGAGUUCCUCAGCUCGGACUCCUUCUGCUGAGCUGAUUGUGAAGACUGCAUUCUUAUCUGCUUGUUUCUUCUGUACGUUGUCUCCACAUGCUGCAAGGUAUCAUUUUCAAUUGCCUUAUUUGUUUUCCAGGCAAAUGUGGCAUCCGAGUUUGAGUGGAGGUUCUGGCAUAUUGUUUUCUUUAUCCUUGUCUUUGUAGGUAAGAACAAGGACAAAGGAAAGGACAGGGAGAACGCAUGAUAUGAUAUACUCUUGCUUUCUACCCUGGUGAUAUGAGAUACUUUUGCUUUGGUGUCAUUUGUUUGCAGAGGUACCCCAAGGAAUAAGAAACACUGAGUGACUCGAGAGGCUUUGUUGGGAAGGCAUUCUAGGAGAUGAAGAAAGGUUCUUGGAGAUGAAGAAAGGUUCUCGGAGAUGAAGAAAGGUUAUGUAUGUCUGCCUUGCUAUGGAGGGUAAAGGUGGACAGUUAUAGGAAAUUCUUUAGUACCUGUAGAGGUACUAUUCUUUUACUCGUGUCGGCAACCAAUGUGUGAUUGAUCAGUAUGGCUUCACGUGUUUUCUUCUUUAUCAGAAAUCUUCGACAAAUUGUCCGUAAUUUUCGUCAAGCUGAGUGUGCAUGUGACAGGUGUUGACGAGGCUGAAAAAGACUGGUGCCUCUUCGAUAUCUGGGAUCGGCGCUUCGACAAAUUGCCCGUGAUUUCCGCAAAGCUGAGUUUGCGCGUGACGGGUGCUGACGAGGCUGAAAAAGACUGGCGCCUCUUCGAUAUCUGGGAUUGGCGCUUUAACAAAUUGCCCAUGAUUUCUGCAAAGCUGAGUUUGCACGUGACGGGUGCUAACGCGUCUGGAAAAGCAAGAUGCUUCUCCGAUUUCUGAGCUUGCCUCUUUGAUUUUUGAAUUGGCCUCUUCGAAUUCUGAGCUCGCCUCUUCGAUCUUUGAAAUCCCAUCGAGUGUUGAUCUUUAUAGAGGCACGCAGUUCGUUUCAAAGCACACUUGAAUUUUCGCUUGUAGAAACUCCCUUCUUGCACUUCUAAGAUCUUGAUUUGUCCGACCUCUUCUUUCUUCAACACCUUUGAAAAUGUCUGGACCCUCCGACCGUCAUUUUGAUUUGAACCUUGGUGAAGAGGUAGUCCCGUCUUCUCCAGAUAACAUAUGACGCCCAUCUUUCAUAUCCCCUACUGGUCCUCUUACCGUUGGGGAUUCGGUGGUGAAGAAUGAUAUGACCGCUGCGGUGGUGGCCCGAAACCUUGUCACUCCCAGAGAUAACAGACUACUUUCCAAACGGUCUGAUGAGUUGGCUGUUAAGGAUUCUCUGGCUCUCAGUGUGCAGUGUGCAGGUUCUGUGUCUAAUAUGGCCCAACGCCUAUUUGCUCGAACCCGUCAAGUUGAAUCAUUGGCGGCUGAAGUGAUGAGUCUCAAACAGGAGAUAUUAGAGGGCUCAAGCAGAGAGAUAAACAGUUGCAUAAGCUCGCACAUAGCUAUGCGACAAACAUGAAGAGGAAGAUUAACCAGAUGCAGGAAUCUGAUGGUCAGAUUUUACUUGAUCAUCAGAGGUUUGUGGGUUUGUUCCAGCAGCAUUUGCCUUCGUCUUCUGGGGCUGUACCGCGUAAUGAAGCUCCAAAUGAUCAACCCUUGGCUCCUCUUCUUCCUGGAGUUCCGCCGAGUGGUGUGGCUUCAAACAGUCAACCUCCGACGCCUCUCAUUUCUGGAGCUCUGCUGAGUGGUGAGGUGGCACCUAAUCGUCCUUGAAGAUCCCCUCUUGUAAAUUUGAUUUGAUUUUUUUUUAAGUAUGUAUAAUGCAAAUUUAUGUAAAAUUUCCAGAAAAAAUAAAUAAAAACGGACUUUAUUUCUCUCAAUGCAUUUGUUUUGUUUUGUUUUUGUUUUUUUUGUUUUUUUGUUUUUGUUUUUUUUGUAAAUACAUAAUAACAUAUGUAUUUAUUUAUUUAUUCUUUUGUAAUAAAAUUGACUUUCUUUAAUAAAACUUUUAUAUUUUUCUUAUUUAUUUUGAUAUGACUGAACUCGAAAUUGAAUGUUCGAGCCGCCUACGUACCCUUCCAAAGAAGAGAUCAAGCCAUAACGUAGUUCAAAUGAGUGAUGAAUUUAAUAGUGAUUUUGAUGAUGAUUUUGCCGUACACAGUUUAUGCUCUUGUGGGCCAGGAGCUUUGGUGUUGCCUUUUAUGCUCGUGCAGACCAGGAGCGUUGAUGUCGCCUUUUAUGCUCGUGUGGGUCAGGAGCGUUGAUGUUGCCUUUUAUGCUCGUGCAGACCAGGAGCUUUGUGCCAUGCAGUUUAGACUCGUGCGGGCAAGGAGCUUUGGUUCGUGCAGUUUAGGCUCAUGCGAACAAGGAGCAUUGGUUCGUGCAGUUUAGGCUCGUGCGAACAAGGAGCAUUGGUGUUGCCUUUUAUGCUCGUGCAGACCAGGAGCUUUGUGCUAUGCAGUUUAGACUCGUGCGGGUGAGGAGAAUUUGUGAAUUUUGUCAAGCACUUUUGGAGAGGCGUUCCUUACAAUCUUCAUAGCAAGGAGCCUUGACCGAGUGAUUGAAGAAGUCUUCGGGAAAGAAGUCGCACAUCGUGAUGGCAACAGACGAUCUUUGUGUCGUAAUUUCAUCAUCUUCAACACGUUCACGUUGCUUUGAAGGUUGACAAGAGCUGCUUUGCCCCCUUUCCGAUUGGCGGACUUGUGGAGGAGACGUAUGCUUCUUGUGCCAUUUCUUAGGAGUGACUUGAGUCCAUCCUUCAAGUUUGCUUGUUUUGGAGGAUGCCCCCGGCGGUUGAGGUGAAAAUUUUGUGUUGAAAGAGCCAGAAGUGAUGGUGGUAUAGUUUGACUUCACCACAUCGUCAAGAUCUAGCUCGAUGAUUCCUUUCUGAGCCCACUUUAUGAUGAGAUCUUUCAGCACAAAGCACUUUUCUGUCGGAUGACUGAUGAAGCGGUGGAAUUUACAGUAUCUUGGACUGUUGGUACGAUUCAUCUCUUCCGGCCAUCUGCACUCAGGCAAACUGAUCACCUUCUUGUCCAACAGGUCAUCCAACAUGGCAACCACAUCAGAGUCAGGGAAUGGAUAAGUCUUCUCUUUAAGCUCCUUCAAAGUGCGUCUACGCAUCUCUUGAUCACGAAAAGCUUCGGUUUGAAUCGUUUUGCCUCGUGUGGAGAUUUUGACGGGAGAUGUGUUGACUGUCAUUGCUUCCUUGGUGGAUUUCCACGUAGCCUUCUCCACCUUUGUCUCAAGAAUUUUGUCGUUCUUGUAGUCGGCGAUCGGUUCCUUCUUCCCAUGAUGGGUGAUGCUCAACUCCAUGUCAUGGGCGUGGGUGGCCAAUUCCUCGAAGGUCCGUGGUUUAAUGCCUUGAAGGAUGUAUUGCAAACCUCAUUGCAUGCCUUGGAUGCACAUCUCGAUUGAAGAGGUCUCCGAGAGCCUAUCUUUGCAGUCGAGGCUUAGAGUGCGCCAUCUGUUGAUGUAGUCAAUGACCGGCUCAUCUUUCCAUUGCUUCAUACUUGUGAGCUCCAACAUGCUUACAGUGCGGCGGGUGUUGUAGAAGCGGUUGAGGAAUUCCCGCUCCAAUUGCUCCCAGCUGUUGAUGGACUCAGGCUCUAGGUCCGUGUACCACUCAAAUGCGUUUCUUUUCAGCGAGCGCAUAAACUGCUUGGCGAAGUAGUCCCCCUCCGUCCCCGCGUUGUUGCAAGUUUUGACGAAAUGUGCAACGUGCUGCUUUGGGUUUCCUUUUCCAUCAAACUGCAUGAACUUUGGUGGUUGAUAUCCCAUCGGCAUCUUUAGGGCAUCAAUCUUCUUUGAAUAAGGCUUUGAGUACAACCCGGAGGUAUUUGAGCUCCCUUCGUACUAUGCCUUGACGGUGCUGGCAAUCAUCUCUUGCAACUGUUGGAUAGAAAGAGAUCCCAUGAGUGCCGCUUCUUGGUCUGGCUCCGGCUUCACAUCGAUUUUCUCCACCGUAGGCUCAUCUUCUGGGUUAGGGUUCUCGCUGUCCUGUGGCUCCAGUUGACUGAUGAGUGCAGCGAUUUGCAAGUCUUUUUCUUCCACAGUUCGGGUUAGCCUUGCGAUUGCUUCAUUCAUUUGAGCCAGUUGUUCUUCGAUGGAGGUAACGCCGAUGGUCAUGACUUGUGCAACCAAUAGACGUGACUUUCCUUUAGACAUCCAAGAUGCUGAAGAAGAACGUCAUUGGUUGUUUUGGGAUGUCAUCUUGUGUGCCUCAGCAACAUGCUUUGGUGCCCCCAGCGAGGUCAGGUUGAUGACAGACUCACACCUUUGAUGCUCCCUUUGCUCUUUUAGCGGCACCAACUUUGAAGUGGCAUGUUAAGGAGCGGUUGUGGUGCUAAUGGAUUGUCCAUUUGCGGCAGAAGUGCUUAGGAUCCUUCCCUCAGUGAUUGCGAGAACGGCUUGUCCCUUGCUUGAUGCCAUUGAUUUUGAGGUGUGUUUGGAUUCCUUAAACGGAGAAAGAUAUGAGAGGUAGAGAUUGUCCCACCGGGCGUGCCAAUUUGUGAACACGAAAAUUUCCUGAAACGAAAGAGACAAGAACAACGUGCACAAAAUAAUAUUUUGGUGUUAAUGGAUUUGUUGGGUUACGAUCUCUUUUAACUUGAUCCUCUGAUUCGAUCUCCGUAAGGUGUUGAUUUAUGGAUGUUUCGUUGAUCUAAGGGCCGUCGAGGCUUGAUCUUGGAUGAACUGUUGGAAGUUUCUUCAAGGGGCCGUGGGCUUGAUCUUUGAAGGUGGAUUUGAGCGGAUCUUCAAGGAGCCGUUGGGGCUUGAUCUUGAGGAUGAGUGUUUCUUCAAGGGCCGUUAAGGCUUGAUCUUGAAUAACGGUGAUGAACGGAUCUUCAAGGGCUUUUGGGCUUGAUCUUGAAGAACGGUUGGAUGUGUGGAUUUGUUGAUGUUGUUGAUCCAAGGGCCGUCGGGGCUUGAUCUUGGAAGAACGAUGAACGAAGAACGAAGAACACUUUCUUCAAAGGCCGUCGGGGCUUGAUCUUGAAUUGGUGAUUGUUGAUCCAAGGGCCGUCGGGGCUUGAUCUUGGAAGAACGGUGAACGAAGAAUGAAGAACGAAGAACACUUUCUUCAAGGGCCGUCGGGGCUUGAUCUUGAAUUGGUGAUUGUUAAUCAAAGGGCCGUCGGGGCUUGAUCUUGGAAGAACGAUGAACGAAGAACGAAGAAGGCUUUCUUGAUUCUUCGGGAUGAACGGAUGAUGAACAAUGAACACUUUCUUCAAGGGCCAUCGGGGCUUGAUCUUGAAUUGGUGGAAGUUCUUCAGGGCCUUUGGGGCUUGAUCUUGAAGGUGGAUGAUUGUUGAUCCAAGGGCCGUCGGGGCUUGAUCUUGGGAUGAACAGUUGUGUGGAUUUGUUGAACACUUUCUUCAAGGGCCGUCGAUGCUUGAUCUUGAAUUGGUGGAAGUUCGUCAAGGGCCGUUGGGGCUUGAUCUUGAAGAAGGAUUUGACGAAGAACGAAGAGAGCUUUCUUGAUCCUUCGGAAUUUGCUUGAAUUUGGGAGGUUGGAUGCUUGAAAGCUUUAGAGUUUCAAAGCUUCAAGGAUUUUGGAUGUGUGGGGAGUAUUCUCUUACAUUUUGGGAGUAGAGAAAUGUAUUUGUGAAUUGGUUUUUGAUACCUUGAUGUAGAAGCCUAUUUAUAGGCUUUGAGAAUGAAUCACCACCACAAAAUAUUUUUUUCUUUUCCAAGCACCAUUGCCUAAUUUCCCACUUAAUACAAUUUUAAACUUGAAGUGGUAAUUUUAUGGCCUAAUUUUCCACUUAAUAUCAUUUUAAACUUGAUAUGUGCAUGCUUUGUCAUUGCCCAAAAUGAGAAGAAAACCUUGUUUUGAUCUUCAAUGGAUUGAAAUGUGCUUUGCCUUGUCAUUGCCCAAAAUGAGAAGAAAAACUUGUGUAAUCCUCCAAGGGUAUUUCUUUUUAUUUUGUUGAGUCACACACCAUGUGUACAAUUUGUAUGACACGUGGCAUAUGCCAUAUAUGCCUUGACACGUCAAAAUUUUAAUGCGUUGGUGAACAUUUAUUUCACCGCAAUUUCGAUGUCUACAAUUUCAUUUCUUGUGAAUAAUGUUUAUCCUGUGUUCUGUCCAAUCGCGUAUUAAAAAAUGUGUGAAGUUUGGAUUAACCACACUCUUUUAGAAUUUCCUUUAUUUACCACUUUUUGAGAAUUUCCAAUAAGACUGGGUGAGUCUCCGCUGAGAAUUUCCUCAACUAACACCACACUACUUGAGGGAUAAUUUGUUAUAUCUUUGAAUAAAGAAUAAAACAGUUUCCUACUUUUGAAGGUACUAUUAACUUACACUAUAUUUGGAUGAAGGUCAAACUUUAUAAAUUGACAUACACCAAAUUCUUUGUUUGGAUUCAUAAACAUAUAAAUUUAGAAUUUCCGCGUGGAAAAAAAAAAUACUUAGAAUUUGAGACCUCCAAUUCUCAAAUUGAAAGUUUAAAAAUAAUAAAUUCCGUAUUCAAUUCAAUUGUUCUUUUAGGUUAACCAAAUAAGAAAAUUCACAAAUUCUAAAAUAUAAAAUCUCAUCAUUUCAAUUUCCGUCAUUUUAAAAUUCCUUAGUAAUAUUAAAUUUCUUCAUCCAAACAUAGUGUUAAGAAAUUUUUUAAAGAUACACUAUUUACACUCAUUUUUAUUUCUUACACAUUUAUUAACUUUGUCCAUUGAUUUCUUCAAUUCAUUUUGCCAGUUAUACAAAAAUUGAGAACAGUAUUUAUGAAUUAAAAAUACAUUUGUAGAUGUCACUACCAAAUUUUUAUUCCUAAUUCAAGAAAAUCUUAUCCAUAUAUGAUUGCCCUUGCCCACUUUAAAUGGGUGCCAUCACUUUACGAUAGAGCAAUCCUAACCGUCCACCUAGGUAAGCAUAACUGGCGAUGCAUGUCGCAAGGGGACCGCAUUGCACAAUAUAAUUAUACUAGUUGAUAAGACAAGUGAUGUCAAUCAAUAAAUUAUUUCAUUAAAACUUAGUUGUAUGUAUCAUAUGUUGUAAUGUAGGGUGUAUGAUAUGCUGACGCUGUAAAAAAAUGUAACCUUUUUAAUAUUACUCAUAAUAGUAAGACUUACCAGUAUUAGGAUGUUAUCAGUGGAAUGAGAAUCCUCUCCAGAUCUUUUUUGUGAGCUAUUAUUUGUAUUUAAUUUUAAAUAUAAAAAAUUAAAAUAAUUUAUGACGGCAGUGAUUCACAUGAUCUUCACAAAGAGAAUCCAAAUAAUCUUAAUUUAUAUCAGUGUGUCUAGAUAACAUGAUCGAGCCCCUUUACUUUUACCCUAUUUAGUAUUUUACAUUUGAACCUGUAAAUAUUCGAUUUUUCUUUGGUGCAACCGAGCACCAAAUAUAGAUUUUUUUUCACUUUUAUAUAAUGAUAAAUAAAGGGCAAUUGGCAGAUUUGAAUUCCAUUCGGAUUGGUCAAAAAUCAUUUUAAAUUGUUUUAUUUAAAAUUAAACACAUAUAGUACUUAAUAAAAAUUAGUCGUACAAUAUACGAUAAACAGAUAUAAUGUAAGGACCUUUAUGAUCUUCACAAAAAAGAUCCAAAGGUUGUGUAGCUGUUUCAAAAGGAUAAUACUCACUUUUGAUUAGUUCAAUGAAAUUUUAAACAUGUUUUAUUGUUUUAAAAAAUAAUAAACAUAUUUAUUAAUGUUUGUUUUACUUUAAAAAAUAAGCAGCACUUGACAACAUUUGAUUGUGCUAAAUAAAAAAUGAGUGACCACUUAGUACUACAGUCUUAUGAUAUUUUUCUUCAUUUGAAAGUGAGAGGUUUUAAGUUCGAAUCUCGUGGAUGACGAAUUUGAUAUCAAAUUAGAUUGCUCACUAUGUGGCUUAGCCGAACUCUCAUUUCCUUUAAUGUAAAAAUAUUGAUGUAUUCAAAAAAAUAAAAAGUGACUAUAGAGGACACUCAAUCUCAGCUGUAUGAUUAAAUCAGACGGUAAGAAAAAUUCUGCAAGCAUACUCGGUUACAUUAAUUGAAGAAAAAAUGGGUAAAUAUUGGGCACCAACGUUAUAAAUACCCUCCACCAUGCACCCAACUCCCUCACACCAUCACAACCCACGUUACAAAUCCUCCUCCUCAUCAUAACCAUUCUGUUUUCCGCAUAAUAUCCAAAAACCUAUCAUGUCUGAAGAGAAACACCACCGCGGUCUCUUCCACCACCACAAGGAUGAAGACAAACCCUCAGACUACCCUCAGUCUGGCUACUCUGAUGAAGGACGUCCCGGCGGCCUCGGUGGUGGUUACGGCGACACCAAUGAUUAUUCUGGUGAAGGACGUACCGGCGGCCUAGGUGGUGGCUAUGGCGACACCAAUGCUUAUUCUGGUGAAGGACGUCCCGGCGGCUAUGGCGGCUAUAACGAGACCACUGCUUACUCUGAGGAAAGAGUUGAAAGACCCGGCGGUGGCCGGUACAGUGAGACUACUGCGGCAUAUGGCAGCACCAC
rnacentral:lncRNA from 1 species